GACAGAGGGGGCAAGCGUUGCUCGGAAUUACUGGGCGUAAAGGGCGCGUAGGCGGGAUGGCAAGUCGGUCGUGAAAUCCCUCGGCUCAACCGAGGAACGUCGAUCGAUACUGCUGUUCUUGAGGAUUGCAGAGGAGACUGGAAUUCCCGGUGUAGCGGUGAAAUGUGUAGAGAUCGGGAGGAACACCGGUGGCGAAGGCGGGUCUCUGGGCCACAACUGACGCUGAGCCGCGAAAGCCAGGGGAGCGAACGGG
rnacentral:rRNA from 1 species